AUACCGACCUCCAACGCCUUUCGUCCCUCUUUUUUUCCUAUCUUCUUCUUGUUUUUUUUUUUUACAGACUCCCUCAUUCUAAGUGCCGCAAGGAGUUUAUAGAAGUCUACAUACAUAGACAGCAAAAGUGUGUACUGUAUCUGUAUUUUUAUCUAUAUGAGGGGCGCGUGCGAGCGCGUGACUCGAACUUCAUCCGUGACUCAAAGGAGAAAAAGAGCGAAACCCACCUUUUCCAAGUUGGGCCUGGCUUAUUUAUUUUCUUUCCGUCUACACUCCCUGCUCUUUUUCUUUUCGAUUGCUUUUGAUUCUUACCUUUUCUGGUCAUCGUUUACCUAUAUAUUUUUUUUUAUUUACUUCUUCCUUUGCCCGCUCACUCACGAAUGCUGUUACGAAUUGAACGUUGAGCGUGAGUUGGUGUGUCGUAGCCAUUACACCGGCGAUUUCCAUGGCGCUUGAAUUUUUAUUGCUCCGCAUCGACUGUUGUUUAACUGCGAUCGAUUCCGUACCUGCAGGAUGUGUGCGACCGAUGCAACGAAGCCGCGUGACUGAUGGAGGGUUUCGCGCGAAGGCAAGAUGUCGGCAUAGCUGACGUGCUAAUCCGAGUGUAGCUGUGUUACAUCGUGCCAACGUGAACUCCCUAUGACUUCAUAAUACCCCGCUGUCGUCCACAUAAUUUUUUUUUGUAUCCACCUUAUGUUUUUUUCUUUCUUUGUUCUUUUCGGCUUUUUCCUCUUUCCAUUCUUUUCCUUGUUUCUCUUUUUGCUUCGUUUUUAUUCAUUUUCUAGCGUUUCACUGAUGACUGUUUCUGUUUUUUUUUCCUCGAGGUGGGCGGAUGCUACAUCAUAAUCCUUCCUCGUUCGUCUACCAUAUUCUUGUGUACGCGCAUCCGCCCGUUUGACUCGUUGAUUAACGAAGUCUUUGUCUCCGUUGCGACACUCAAUCUCUGGUCCUCUCGUCUUCUGUUGGUGUUGAAUUCAUUCCAUGCGUACCUGAACCUUCCUCCUCCUCCAUCUUUUCGCUUAUUUUUCAUCUCUCUCUCUUCCUCUCUUCUGCCGGCCUUCGGGGCUGGCCGGGCGUGAUGUCAAUGAACGAUUCGCGAUUCGCAUCGCUAUGUUCUGACAUGAUGAGCCGUGCGAUGACGCCAUCCUUUUUUUUCAUUCGUUUUGUUUUGUUGGGUCUACCCAACAACAUUCCACACGCUGCUGCGCCGGCCGCCCUAGACGACGACGAUGGACAGAGUGAGCUUAUUGUAACCAAAAAAAAAAAAAAAAGGCAGGUAAACUGUACUCAGGCACGUAACAACAAAUAGUUUUCAGUGUUGCCUUUUCCCUUACCCCGCUGUGAGGAAGGAUCGGAAGUUCGCAUUCAGCGGAGCCCAGCUGGGCAAUGUCUCGAUUUUGCCGUGCCGUGCCGUACCACACUGUGUUGUUGUAAUUUUUUUUCUCUUUUUUGUUUAGUUGAUUCACCGCCUCAUUUAAUGGUGGAUGUUGGAGUACCGCCUAUAGCUUUACACGCCCUGAAAAAAAAGUCAACAAUUCUGCCGGCUGGCACUCCUGGGACCUCAUGUGUGUGUAUGGCCGUUGCUUUUUGGCCAGCAACCGCAAUGGCAAAAUUGGGCGGGUGCCUUUGGCUUAUUUCUCUCGCUAUGCAACAUGGCCGAAGAAACGUGAUACGUCGAUUCAUUUUCUUUUCAAACGUGUUUUUCUUUUUCUUUUCGAACCUUUUAGCUUCUCCCUUUUCGACGUUGCCGUGAUAUCAGUUUCCUGUUAGCGACCUCCCCCUCUCACUCACAACAUCGUCUGUUUUCUUUUCUUCAUUCUUUUUUUUUUUUAAGCAAUUCUUUCUUUCACCGUACAGCCAGCCAUCAUCAUCAUCAUCACUCAAACUACGCUGCUCCGUUCGAGGCUGAGGUCGUGUAACACAUUGCCCACCCCCAAGUCUAGGUGGAAAAUUAUGAAUGAUAAUCACCCGAAGGUCAUGCCGCACAUUUGUAGUUCCUUGACCAUCUACGACCGAUUCAUCCACAGCAGACGUAUUAGGCGGAGGAGCCAUUAGGUCGCCAUGUUCAACGCAUUGAAAACGGGUCUUGGACGAUCAUCAACCACCGAUAAUCAACAAAGAACGUCGAUGCUGUCACGGCAUUCAAUCAGUGCAGCAAAUCACGUUGGAGGAUUCUCUAAUGUUGUAGUGUCGGUGCAUAUCGUUAUUCUACUGGGAAAAAAAAAAAGACUUUCCUCGCCGUUGGAAAACAGAAAGAGAAAUUCUUAGAUCGUCGCAUCCAUUCAUAAUCGAUCGUUGGGAUAAACAUUGCCAGCAACAGCGUCAAAUUCCAGCUGUAGUGUUUGCUGGAGCUGCAUCAUCGUGAACAGAGUUAUGUCUAUGGAAGCUUGUCCAUUCGUCAUGCAGCAGUGUUGCCUGGGCAUUAACCAUAUGAAAAAUGAGAUUUGCGGCCGUCCUUGCCCAAAGAAGAGGAAUAUCCUCCAAGAUUACUUUGGCUGACAAAGGCGUUGCAGUCAAAAGCAAAACAAAUGAAAGAGGCCAACCUUUUUGCACGUUUCGGGCUGCCGUGACGAAUAAAUCGUUUCUCCUAUCGCUGAUGCAGUCAUCCUACUCGAGGCGGAGGAUUGCCAAUGGCCAAUAGCAGCGAGACGUCCCCAAUCACGAUCCAUGUACGUCCUGUUCUUUGGAAGUUUAAAAAGAAAAAAUAGAAAAUUUUCUAAUCGGCCACUGGAUGUAUAUUUUCUUUUUAUUUCUUGUUUUUAUACCCGUUGUUUGGGCACUGCUCAGUCCAAUGAUCAAGUUGAGGAUCCCAGUUUAGCAAGUGCAUUAGCGUAACACAUGCCUGUAGCUGUGUUAAAUUAAUCAUAUUUUCAGAUCUUCUUCAUUGCGCAAGCCGUUCACCGUUUUGAAUCAAGUAAUAAUAAUAAUUAACUGCUGAAUAACUGACGCGUGCUUUGACGUGUAAAGCAAUCCAAUUGUGUAUCAUUUACAAACGCCAAUGGGCAUUCUCUUUUCCUGAAGGAAAGGGAAAAAAAAUUAAAAAAAAGGCUAAAUUAGAAAAAUAUACAAAUAAAAUAC